CUACGGGUGGCUGCAGUGAGGAAUAUUGCACAAUGGGGGGAACCCUGAUGCAGCAACGCCGCGUGGAGGAUGACGCCUUUCGGUGUGUAAACUCCUUUUAUAUGUCAAGAAAAUGACGGUAGCAUAUGAAUAAGCACCGGCUAACUCCGUGCCAGCAGCCGCGGUAAUACGGAGGGUGCAAGCGUUACUCGGAAUCACUGGGCGUAAAGGACGCGUAGGCGGGUUGGAAAGUCAGGUGUGAAAUCCUACAGCUUAACUGUAGAACUGCACUUGAAACUUCUAAUCUAGAGUAUGGGAGGGGGAGAUGGAAUUAGUGGUGUAGGGGUAAAAUCCGUAGAUAUCACUAGGAAUACCUAAAGCGAAGGCGAUCUCCUGGAACAGUACUGACGCUAAGGCGUGAAAGCGUGGGGAGAAAACAGGAUUAGAUACCCCUGUAGUC
rnacentral:rRNA from 1 species